CUUUGUUAUAUGCUACUCCAACACCUUCAUCCACCCGAUCACACUUUUAUGCUAUUCUAACAUCUCCAUUUCCUACUUCACUUUUCUCUUUGCCACUAUGUCUUUAAAUAGAUGAGUUGAAUAAUAUAGCUGGUAACUUUGGCACAGAAUCUUUGAUCGGAGAAGGUUCUUAUGGGCGUGUUAUCUAUGAAAAGUUGAACAGCGGAACAAGUGCUGCAAUUAAGAAGCUUCACUUUUCUCUUUGCCACUAUGUCUAUAUGGUCUAGUAUUAGCUUAUAUUGGCAGGAUUUAGAAGCCGUGUCAACUUCUUUAAUGUGCUCAAUCCAUCAGAGAUGAGUAGCUACACAUGAGAAGUUCUGGAUGCUGGAUUUGUUGGGCCUUUAUUCUAGGUUACACUAGAGGAGUCUCCAGAUCAGCGCUUUACAGAUGUCUCAGCCCAGAGGUGCUGGGAACUUGUGUUGCAUAGGCUAAAUCAAAAAAAAAAAAAACCAGGCUUCAGGCCCUAGGGAAAGCAUCUUCCCUGCAAUUUCCACAAAACAUUGAUGGGCUGAUAAUGUUUGGGUUUUACUCUCCAUCCAUCAUUAAGGUACACCUUAUAUAUGCGGAGAUCGAAAAGUGUUGGAAAUUUCGAUCCAGAUCCAGAAAUUGAACGCACUUUUCGAAUUAGAAGACAAGAAGCAAGGAGAAAGCAAGAGGAGACCUGGAUGGGUGAUAACAAUAAUGCAAACGGAAAUCUCCAUGUUAUUGUUCCUGAUGAGUCAUCCAUUCAGGAUCAUGAGACUCCUAAUCCUGCUAAUUGCAUGUACAAGACUCCUGCGAUUGAUGCAACUCAAUACACUACAACAAAACGGGUCAAAACCGACCACACAAAACCGACCGACGGUCGCGUGGUCGGCUUUACAUCGUCGAAAUCACAAAACGACGAAGAUCUGCAUGACGUGGCGACAAACAAAACCGACCGUGGACAACGAUCGGUUAUAAGUAUGACAUGGCACGGUCAAAACCGACCGUUGGUUGUGGUCGGUUUUGUUGUCUGCGAAAAAAUAAUAAAAAAACAAUUUAAAUAAAAAUAUAUGUGCGUCCGUACCAUAAAAACGACGUCGUUUUUUUGUUUGGUCCUAAAGACUCAAGGUUCACAAAUCAUGUUGGAGCAUGCCUGUCUUGACAACUCUAUCGUCUUUCCUCAAAAUAUAAGCUACUACUUUCUCGCACUUGCCAGUCUAAGGAAUCUUGUCAUUGAUUUUGGCCAACAAUAUAUUCGACGUCUUGUUAUAUCUAGCUUAGAGAUGGACAUUAAUCCCGACCCGCCCGAUCCCGACCCGAUCCCCGCACCGAAUGG